rnacentral:rRNA from 1 species
AUUGAACGCUGGCGGCAUGCCUAACACAUGCAAGUCGAGCGGCUGAACGGGUCUUUCUCCUUGGUUCAGCGGGGGACGGGUGAGUGAUUUACAUGAAUCUACCUGGUCUAGGGGGAUAACGUCCGGACACGGCCGCUUAUAUCGCACAUGUUCUGAUCGUGAAAGUGGGGGAUCUUCUGAGCCCGCGCUCUCUGCUGUUCCUAGGUCGGAUUAGCUAGUUGGUGGGGUAAAGGGGUACCAAGGCGACGAUCCGUAGCUGGUCUGAGAGGAUGAUCAGUCACACUGGAACUGAGACACGGUCCAGACUCCUACGGGAGGCAGCAGUGGGGAAUAUUGGACAAUGGGCGAAAGCCUGAUCCAGCAAUGCCGCGUGUGUGAAGAAGGUCUUCGGAUUGUAAAGCACUUUUAGUAGGGAAGAAAGGCAGUGAGAUAAUACGUUCAGGGUUUGACGGUACCAAAAGAAUAAGCACCGGCUAACUACGUG